rnacentral:tRNA from 1 species
GGAACAGUGGCGCAAUCGAUAACGCGCCUGACUACGGAUCAGGAGAUUCUAGCUUCGAAUCCUGGUAGUCUCG